CAGAAUUAGUCUAACUAGAAAGUGACUAUGCAAAUCAACAAAAUAAACUAAAAAUUUAGGAAUUUGUUGCUUACUUGGACAACAAAAAAGUAGAGGUCAUUCAGUUGAAACAAAAGAUGUCGCAGGUUGAACAUGUGACUGUUGAGCAGCGAAGAGUUCCUUCAUUUUCAUUAUUUCUUUCAUCUCAUUUUCUAAGGUAGACAAUCGAUCGUUCAAGGAUUUGAUUUCAUCUCAUUUUCAAAGGUAGACAAUCGAUCGUUCAAGGAUUUGUUUUCCU
rnacentral:lncRNA from 1 species